AGCGAACGCUGGCGGCAGGCUUAACACAUGCAAGUCGAGCGGGCCCUUCGGGGUCAGCGGCUGACGGGUGAGUAACACGUGGGAACGUACCCUUUGGUUCGGAAUAACGCUGGGAAACUAGCGCUAAUACCGGAUACGCCCUUUUGGGGAAAGGCUUGCUGCCGAAGGAUCGGCCCGCGUCUGAUUAGCUAGUUGGUGGGGUAAUGGCCUACCAAGGCGACGAUCAGUAGCUGGUCUGAGAGGAUGAUCAGCCACACUGGGACUGAGACACGGCCCAGACUCCUACGGGAGGCAGCAGUGGGGAAUAUUGGACAAUGGGCGCAAGGCUGAUCCAGCCAUGCCGCGUGAGUGAUGAAGGCCUUAGGGUUGUAAAGCUCUUUUGUCCGGGACGAUAAUGACGGUACCGGAAGAAUAAGCCCCGGCUAACUUCGUG
rnacentral:rRNA from 1 species